rnacentral:rRNA from 1 species
UCAGCCGCACUGGAACUGAGAUACGGUCCAGACUUCUACGGGAGACAGCAGUGGGGAAUAUUGGACAAUGGGCGAAAGCCUGAUCCAGCCAUGUCGCAUGAGUGAAGAAGGCCUUUGGGUUGUAAAGCUCUUUUAGUGAGGAAGAUAAUGACGGUACUCACAGAAGAAGUCCUGGCUAACUCCGUGCCAGCAGCCGCGGUAAUACGGAGAGGGCUAGCGUUAUUCGGAAUUAUUGGGCGUAAAGGGCGCGUAGGCUGAUUAAUAAGUUAAAAGUGAAAUCCCGAGGCUUAACCUUGGAAUUGCUUUUAAAACUAUUAAUCUAGAGAUUGAAAGAGGAUAGAGGAAUUCCUGAUGUAGAGGUAAAAUUCGUAAAUAUUAGGAGGAACACCAGUGGCGAAGGCGUCUAUCUGGUUCAAAUCUGACGCUGAGGCGCGAAGGCGUGGGGAGCAAACAGGAUU